rnacentral:rRNA from 1 species
CACGUAGGGCGCGAGCGUUGUCCGGAAUUAUUGGGCGUAAAGAGCUUGUAGGCGGUUUGUCGCGUCUGCUGUGAAAUUUCGGGGCUCAACCCCGAACUUGCAGUGGGUACGGGCAGACUAGAGUGUGGUAGGGGAGACUGGAAUUCCUGGUGUAGCGGUGAAAUGCGCAGAUAUCAGGAGGAACACCGAUGGCGAAGGCAGGUCACUGGGCCACUACUGACGCUGAGAAGCGAAAGCAUGGGGAGCGAACAGG